UUCUCCGUUCCUCCAUCUCUCUCUCUCUCUGCGGAAAAAUGAAACCAGAAGCUUCGACGAGCUCGCCGCAUCGUCUUCUCCGAGCACCGUCUGUUCCUUGACGCCGUCUUCAUCGGAGAUGCAUGCCUUCUCCGAUCCUCGCUUCUCUCUCUCGCCCCUGUUGAUUCCUCUCUUUCCCGAACACUUCCUCUCUUCGAUUCUCCGUGAACCAGACAAGAUCCCGAUUUUACCAUCGCUUGUCUUCACCGGCGUUAGCUUCUACCGCCGCCGUCAUUGAUGUCGCAGCUUGUCUCUUGAUGAAUCCAGCACCGCCUUUGACCUUCGUGAUUCUUUGGUAGCAAAAUUCCUCUUGCUCACCUCACGACCUCUUUGAAACCAAAACCAGACUUGUCAAAGUCUUAAAAGCUUGUGAUGUCGACGUCUCUUCACCACCGUAGCUUCCUUUAGAAUUAUUUCUUUAAUUCUUUUAAGAGCUUCAUCCUUGUUGUAGCUGUCUCCUAGCUGCAACCACACGUUCUUUGGUUCCUCGUAUAGACAAAUCCCGUCUACAACCAUCAAAGGUGAACAAGUCGACAGCCUUGUCACCUGCAGCCACACGAGACCUACUAAGGCAGAACCUUGAGGAUCUCCAAGCAUGUCUCGAACUUUUGUCCAGGUUGUCGCAACACGCUGCUCCGUCAAGCUUCAAUCACCAACGAGCCGAGUAUUCUUCACCACACCAGAUAAGAAUUCUCCUUGCUUGUUUAUUGAAUCUUGACCUCGAAUCUCUGUACUUGGAUCUAGUUUAGCCUAAGCUCUGAUACCACUUGUAGAGAAUCGACCUUGGCUUUCUCUUGUAAUAAUCGAAUCAAAACGGAACCGAUAUGUUUGGCAAGUCUAACUCCAAACCGGAGUAAACUCAAUAUCACUAUGAAUCGAAAA